UAAAAGCUUAAUUUUAGGCGAAAGAAAUUAGCUAUAACGUUUGUAUAAGGAAAAAAGUAUUGUGUAUCAAAUCGCUAGAUCGAACAUGCAUUGUAAUAACAGCAUAUUUAACAGUGAAAUUGACCAUAAAUCUCAAAAGAAGGAUUAUAUAAAUUGAUCUUUAGUCUUUAAGAGCAAAAGCAGUUAAACGGUUUUGUAGAACAGGUAGUGAAACGUCAAUAAAAGGAUCGAAUUUUAGAUAUUCAAU